AUUGAACGCUGGCGGCAGGCUUAACACAUGCAAGUCGAGCGAGCGGCGGACGGGUGAGUAAUGUCUGGGAAACUGCCUGAUGGAGGGGGAUAACUACUGGAAACGGUAGCUAAUACCGCAUACCAUCCGAUGAGCCCAGAUGGGAUUAGCUAGUGGGUGGGGUAAUGGCUCACUAGGGAGACGAUCCCUAGCUGGUCUGAGAGGAUGACCAGCCACAUUGGAACUGAGACACGGCCCAGACUCCUACGGGAGGCAGCAGUGGGGAAUAUUGCACAAUGGGCGCAAGCCUGAUGCAGCCAUGCCGCGUGGAUGAAGAAGGCCUUCGGGUUGUAAAGCACUUUCAGCGGGGAGGCGUUACUCGCAGAAGAAGCACCGGCUAACUCCGUGCCAGCCGCCGCGGUAAUAC
rnacentral:rRNA from 1 species